UACAGAGGUCUCAAGCGUUGUUCGGAUUCAUUGGGCGUAAAGCGCGCGUAGGCGGCCCGGUAAGUCCGCUGUGAAAGUCAAAGGCUCAACCUUUGAAUGCCGACGGAUACUGCCGGGCUAGAGUACGGAAGAGGCGAGUGGAAUUCCUGGUGUAGCGGUGAAAUGCGCAGAUAUCAGGAGGAACACCAAUGGCGAAGGCAGCUCGCUGGGACGGUACUGACGCUGAGACGCGAAAGCGUGGGGAGCGAACAGG
rnacentral:rRNA from 1 species